ensembl:lncRNA
AUGCAUUGUGAAUACUCUCAGCCCCACUGUAGCACCUUCUCCAUAAAUAGUACAAUGACUGCUUUGGGAGGCAGCAAGCAGAUCUCCCCUCCUGUACAACAUCAUCAUAAUCAAGUCCCACUGUGGAAUCCCCCUCCUAUGGAUCAUCAACCUCCUGACAGCAGUGAGGAGGCUGGUGAGGAAUUCCUGAGAUGCAUUGCAGCCAAUAAGCCUCUUCCAGACUAUCUCAAAGGAAACAUGGCAGACAACCUGGCUGAGGCCUUUAACUCCACAAAUGUCCUGAAAGACAUCCUCAAAUCAAACCCUGAGUUCCAGAAGCAUGCGGCCAGGAGCCGUAGUCGAAGCCGUGGGAAGUCUCGUGUGAAGAGUCCUGCACGAAGCAACAGCCGAGCACGAAGCAGAGUAAGGAACAAAAGCCGUGAGCGGGCCAAGAGCCGGGCCAGGAGCAGAAGCAGGAGCCGGGCCAGGAGCAGAAGCAGGAGCCGGGCCAGAAGCAGGAUCCGGGUCAGAAGCAAAAGCAGACCCAGAGGCAAGGCCAGAAGCAAGAGCCGGCCCAGAAGCAAAAGCAGGCCCAGAGGCAGGGUCAGAAGCAGAAGCAGGGCCAGAAGCAAGAGCAGGCCUCGCAGUAGGAGUCUGAGCCAGAGCCGAAGCAAGAAUAUGAGUCGAGCGCGGAGCAAGAGCCGGGCCCGAAGGUCCAGGUCACAGAGUAGCAGCAGUGAAAAAAGUCCUGGCAAAGACUCCCAGAGAAAGGGUUUUAGCGGCAAUACCAGUCUGACAAGGAAAAGCCUGUUGGAAGGACUGAAGCUGGUCAUGAAAAGCAAAGAGCUGGAAGAGCGGUUGCCAACCCUCAAAGAUGCCAUCCUCACUAUUCAGGCCUCAGAUAAAAGCAAAAAAGUGGAUUGUGUGCCUAACGAGCAGAGACAUCGGCCGUGCAACAGUAAUGAGAACUCAACAUCGUUGGAAAAUGACAAUAUGGUCCUUCCCCAUGACCGAGUAGGCAGUGACUUUUCUUGGCUCCAGGUGCAGAGUCAGGAGGACUCUGCAGUCCUGAAAGCAGAUGUGCUUGAGGAUGAAGAGUCAUUUCUGUAUGGGAAUGAAGACACAAGAGGAAAAGAGGCCAAAAAAUCCUCCACCACACUCUUUACACCAUUUCCCCAGAUCGGAGAGCUUGCCAAACCACGGGCGAUGGCUCAUUCAGGCAGUCAACAUCAUCAGAAGUCCAGAUUCAGCACUUUUGGGGGUCCGCUUGAUCUGAAGCAGCCUCAAAUGACUUCCCCUAGUGUAGCCUCUGCCAAUCUGGACAGCAUUGAGUAUGAGAAGAUCAGGAACAUAUUAGAAAGUCUGGGCAAAGCAGACGUCAGCGAGAUCAUGGAUAAGAUGCAGGGGCUUAAGGAAGGGAAGCAACCGUCUCCUGCACGUCCUGCUGCAGCCUUGGCAUUGCCAGCACUGAGUCACCCCAAUGUGCGUCACGCUCUGGAGUCCUUACAGUCAUUGAUCAAAGUUACCAAAGAAAGGCGUGAAAAACGUGAUGCCAGUGUCACAUCUCAGACAUUCUCUGAUAGAUACAAGGCAGGAGACAAUGAGGAAACAAGAAACAAAAAACAAGCCAGAAUAAGACAAAUGGAAUCUUUGAUGAAAGAACUGGAAGGACUGUUGAAACAGGAUGGGUUGAGUUUUCUGAGUCCAGUAAUUGGGUUUUACUGCCAGAAAUGUGAAGAGUUCAUUGGAGAUCUGAAUAGUGCUGAAAACCACGCAGCCAUCCACUGCCAUAGUAACUCCAGCAGGAAACUGCCAAAGGACAAGCCCGCUGAAGACAUCAAGGGAACCUCUCGCCAUUUUAGCAACAGCACUGAGCACCCACACCCAUCAGACAGGAUGGCAUAUCACAUGGACCCCAGCUGGAGAGACGAAAGAGAUCAAAAAAGCGAGCGCCACAAAGACAGCAGAAGCCAAGGGGCGGGGCAGAACAGCGGCUCCUUGAAAGAGGAGAUGAGGACGGAGAGGAUGCUCAUAACGGUGUCCCGGGGACUGACUCCUCCUCCAGACGCCAGGGUCAAGGAGCAGAUGAACAAUGGGCCGAGCAAAGUCAGUGUGGAGGACAAGGCUGGCCAGGGAAAACCACCCAACGACAAAAGAGAUGAAGAUGAAAGCAGUGAUAUUAGAGGUGACGACAGAGGAAAAAAGCACAUAGGAAAAUCACCGAAAAAGAAGAAGGAAAAAAAGAAGAAGAAGAAGAAGAAGUCCUAAUA